GUCCGGGUGGUGGAAUCGGUAGACACAGAGGACUUAAAAUCCUCCGGCGCGAGCCGUGCGGGUUCGAAUCCCGCCCCGGGCA
rnacentral:tRNA from 1 species